AUUGAACGCUGGCGGCAUGCCUUACACAUGCAAGUCGAGCGGCAGCGCGGGGGCAACCCUGGCGGCGAGCGGCGGACGGGUGAGUAAUGCAUCGGAACGUGUCCUCUUGUGGGGGAUAACCAGUCGAAAGACUGGCUAAUACCGCAUGAGCUCGUAAGAGGAAAGCAGGGGACCCGCAAGGGCCUUGCGCGAGAGGAGCGGCCGAUGCCCGAUUAGCUAGUUGGCGGGGUAAAAGCCCACCAAGGCGACGAUCGGUAGCUGGUCUGAGAGGACGACCAGCCACACUGGGACUGAGACACGGCCCAGACUCCUACGGGAGGCAGCAGUGGGGAAUUUUGGACAAUGGGGGAAACCCUGAUCCAGCCAUGCCGCGUGUGUGAAGAAGGCCU
rnacentral:rRNA from 1 species